rnacentral:lncRNA from 1 species
CGUUGACUAUUUAUUGGUAUAUUUAUGCAUUCCAGUUUAUCAGAAUCCUGAUCCCCUCUGGGCAAGGAACACCUCCCAUUGGACUGGAAACUGCAGAAUCCACCUUCCCCCUCUGCCACAACUGCGUCAUUAAAACGGCUGAGGGAUGGGGACCAUGUGGAAUGGAAGAAGUUUAAUUAACUAUAUGAAAUGAAGAACGGUGUUCUUUUGCUAAUUUUCAAUUAACAUCUGCUGGACAUUGUCGAGACCGACGUGCCAGGGAUAUAAACCAGAUGGAGGCGCAAACGUGCGCCGAGAGGAAGAUGGGGGCACCGGAAGUUGGAACCGGAAGUUACAGCUGGGGUCUCUGAGCUUCCGGAAUGCGGAGGGCAGGCCUGAGUUCUUACAGUGAGGACGGUUUUACGCCUAAGAGAGUGAAAAGCCUUGUGGGAAGAGCACAUCCAACGUCACCGAGAACGGCAGCAGGUAGCAAGGGACAAGGGAUGAAAACUUGCAUUAAUCCUGACUGCACAGAAUGCCAUGCCUGACAUGGAGGCCUGGGACCAUUGUGGGGCCUCAGUGUGACCAGUCCAUACCCAUGGUAAGUGUGACUUUCUAUGUGUGACCACCAAGGGUAGCAGCAUGGAAUAAGGGACUACUAAGCAGGGACUAGGGUUUUACUAUGUAGUUCAGGAUGGUCCUGAACUGGCUAUGUAAGCCAAGCUGGCCUUCAAGUAGCAAUCUUCCUGCCUCAGGUAACCAAGUGCUGGGAUUACAGAUGUGUACUACCAUACCCUG